CAGAGGUGGCAAGCGUUGUUCGGAAUUACUGGGCGUAAAGGGCGCGUAGGCGGCCUUGUAAGUCCUGUGUGAAAUCCCCCGGCUCAACUGGGGAACUGCACAGGAGACUGCUUGGCUUGAGUUCGGGAGAGGGAAGCGGAAUUCCGGGUGUAGCGGUGAAAUGCGUAGAUAUCCGGAGGAACACCGGUGGCGAAGGCGGCUUCCUGGACCGACACUGACGCUGAGGCGCGAAAGCCAGGGGAGCAAACGGGAUUAGAUACCCCGGUAGUCCUGGCUGUAAACGAUGAGCGCUGGGUGUAGGGGGUAUUGACCCCCCCUGUGCCGAAGCUAACGCAUUAAGCGCUCCGCCUGGGGAGUACGGUCGCAAGGCUG
rnacentral:rRNA from 1 species